GCUGGGUUUGGGGAGGCGACGUUUCUGGAAGCUGCUGGAAAGCGCUCGAGUGGCGGAGGUGACGCCGGCGGCUAGGGGGUGGGGCGUGAUUAAAACUAGUGCGCGUCCGACAGCGGAGGGAUUACGCUGAGGAAAGAGACUGGUGCGCACCUCGUUGCGCCCUGGCCCGCGCGAGCCCGGGUCGGAAGUCUACGCCGCGGAGAGUGACCUGGGUGGGUGGGUGGUUGGGCGAGGGAAGGGCUCCCUGGCCUGUAGAGGCGGGGGGUGCAAUGGAAUCCGUCGGCCGGCGCGUUUUUGCAGCGCUGCGGCCUCCACGACGAUUGUGGGUCGCGCAAGGCCCCCGUAGUCCGCUCUCCUAAAGCCUCGGUGAGAGCCGAGCAGCCACAGAGUGUGUGUUCACAAAGGGUCACCACACACGGAGCUGCCCCUCCCUGUCUCCCUAAACCCCAUCUGCGAGGCCAGGGGCUUUUCUGCCAGGAUUCUGGGGUGUUUCUCCUCCUUUCCUCCCUCCCAGAUCUUCUAACGGUAUACCAUUAUUUUACUAGGCAGAGGACAGGCAUCUUAUUAAGAAAAGAGAGACCCAAAUGCUUAUCUCCAAAGAUGGAAGAGGAAGAUUAAAACAAUAAUUUGCAGGAAAGCCCUGCCUUUCCAGAGAUCUAAAGUGUAAUGCAACCAUAUGCUGUUGAGGGGCUCGAAUCUUGGCUGCCUUCGCCCCCCUGCACUAGCCGACACCCCAAUUUUCAGGGGACGUGAUCUCAUACUGUCGCCCUCACUUUUGAAG